rnacentral:rRNA from 1 species
CAAUAGCGUAUAUUAAAGUUGUUGCGGUUAAAAAGCUCGUAGUUGGAUUUCUGUUGAGAGCAACCGGUCCACCUUUUGGGUGAGUAUCUGGACUGUUCUCGGCAUCCUCUCGAAAAACGUUUCUGCGCUUCAUUGCGUGGUACGGGGUUCGAGACUUUACUUUGAGGAAAUUAGAGUGUUCACGGCAGGCAUACGCCUUGAAUAUAUUAGCAUGGAAUAAUACUAUAGGAUUUCGGUUCUAUUUUGUUGGUUUCUAGAGCUGAAAUAAUGAUUAAUAGGGACAAUUGGGGGCGAUCGUAUUGACGAGUCAGAGGUGAAAUUCUUGGAUUUCGUCACGACGAACUACUGCGAAAGCAUUUGCCAAGGAUGUUUUCAUUGAUCAAGAACGAAAGUAAGGGGAUCGAAG